AGUGAACGCUGGCGGCAGGCCUAAUACAUGCAAGUCGAACGGACGGACAGUAAGCGUUCGCCUCUGCCGGUGGCGACGGGCGGAUGGGUGAGGCGUGCAUAGCCUACCUCUAAUACGGGGGGGAUUACGGAGGGCAACUGCUGCUACCACCUAAUAUGUCGAACGGGAGAAAGCAGUAGUUAUUGGCACCUUGCGUGUCACUAUGAGCUGAUUCCGCGCCGCAUUAGCUAGUUGGUAAGGUAACGGCCUACCAAGGCAACGAUGCGUAGCUGAUCUGAGAGGGUGAUCAGCCACACUGGAACUGAGACACGGUCCAGACUCCUACGGGAGGCAGCAGUAGGGAAUAUUGCGCAAUGGGCGCAAGCCUGAUCCAGCCAUGCCGCGUGAGUGAUGAAGGCCUUCGGAUUGUAAAACCCUUUUAUUAGGGAAGAAAAACUGCGUAAUAAUACACCGCUGUUCUGACGGUACCCAAAGAGAAAGCACCGGCUAACUUCGUG
rnacentral:rRNA from 1 species